rnacentral:rRNA from 1 species
UACGAAGGGGGGCUAGCGUUGCUCGGAAUCACUGGGCGUAAAGGGUGCGUAGGCGGGUUUUUAAGUCAGAGGUGAAAUCCUGGAGCUCAACUCCAGAACUGCCUUUGAUACUGAAAGUCUUGAGUAUGGGAGAGGUGAGUGGAACUGCGAGUGUAGAGGUGAAAAUUCGUAGAUAUUCGCAAGAACACCAGUGGCGAAGGCGGCUCACUGGACACGUAUUGACGCUGAGGUGCGAAAGCGUGGGGAGCAAACAGG